ACAGACAGAAAUCUCAAAGAGAUCUUUCCUUGCAAAUGUCUCUGCAUGGCUUACAGGACAGAAUAUGAGAAUAAUCCAGCACAAGACAGUGGGGACUGAAGAGGAAACCCGAAUCUAUUUACCAUUAAGAAGCCCUGUACUGAACUGACAGGAACAGAAUGUAACACUGCUCCAAAGUCUUGGCAUGCCAGUGUUGCCUUUGUGUAUUUGAAGUAUUUCCACUGGUCUUCGGAGUCCUGUCAUCCACCAAUGUGGAAUCCACAACUCAGAGCUGUGACUAUCCUUUGGAAGGAACAGACAUGACAACCAUCGUCUUAACUGCACUGUGUCAGAGGAACCAUGAGUUUGGCAGCAAUCCAUACCCAGUGCAUGGAGGACCUUCAGAUGAAUUUUUUCUGCUACAGUUUAACUUGCCACGUUUAAUUUGCAAGUAUCAAGCAAUGUAGGUGGAGACCUGAGAUGACCCAGUGUGACUGCUUCCUUCCAUACUAGAACUGCUAUG
rnacentral:lncRNA from 1 species